rnacentral:lncRNA from 1 species
UUAAUAGUAUUUUUUUUUUACUUUUUCAUAUAUGUUACAUUUUCAGUAUUGAAGUCUAAAAAAAUUCAGAACCUCUCAUAAGUUCUUAAAUUUAAAAUUUUUUCUCAUCCUCCUACUGCAUUGGCAAAGUACUGUUACCAGUGUCUAGGACUGUAUUUUGUAUCCCGUAUAUUUAUGCUAGACUGUAUACUCCAGGAAUAUUUUUGGGAAAU